GAUCGGCGAUAGCGGUAUGAUUUUUAUGUUUCUAUCCUCUGGUUUGAAUUGAAAUGUGAAUUUCUGAUUUUUCUAUUCAAUUUGAGGUUUGAUCGAUCAUGUACAGGUCGAUGAGAAUAUGCUUACAAGUAUAUGCUCUGGAUCCUGGUUAUUAGGCACGAAAGUGACAAGCAUUUCAAACGUUUGAUUGUAUAAUGCUUGUUUUAAGCUUACUUUGGCUCGACUUUUAGGUCAAUAUUGAACGUAAAUUUUAUCCUAAGAUUCGACAUCCAACGGGUUUUUUUCGAGAAGUGAUUAGGAGGCCACCACUAUGACUUUGGAAGUGCAUAUCUUUAUGCAUAGAUGCAGGGAAUCAUUAAGUUUUGAUCGAAAUUGCUAUUUGUAAUAAUAUCUAAAAGGAUGAGUAUUUUAUCAAAUGCAUUGUUUUAUGAAGCGGACUUGUGCAUUAUCAAAUUGAUUUGAUGUUUUUGUCUGAUUAAUUCUGAUUCAUUAUCUAAUUUCUAAUUUACUGCUAGCAUUGACUCCGUGUGUAUGUAGUAUUUAAAUUCUGCACUCCUUUGCUUUUUUCUAAUUACUAUGUAUGUGACUUAAUACAGAGUGGUAAACGCAUUGGCUAACUACCUUGUUUACAUGUUUGCUCCUCUUAGUCAAAACUCAAGUAAAUUGGGUAGGAUCUUUAGUGUAAGCUGGUGCAAGUUGAUUUCAUGAUAAUAAUUUUCUCAGUUGUUGUCCUUGAUUAAUUAUUAAUUUAUCAAAUUACAUGAAUUGGAUGAAGUGGCUGCUGGAAUGGAAACAACCAUGUCAGGUUUUCCAAUGCCAAGAUGAUGCCUAUGGCACCACCAGAGCUUGCCCUGUUUUUCGAGUUAUAUGUUUUAGAUGACUUCGAAAGUACUCCUUUCUUUUGUUUUUAUUUUUAUUUCUAAAUAUUUAUAUUUGUCUGGACACCAUUUUUGUUUAAGUUUUAUGACUAACUCAGGACCAUAAACUUUUCAUUUUUUUUCGGUUUGAUAUGUACCUUGGCAGGUGUGGGUAAGAGUUG
rnacentral:misc_RNA from 1 species